rnacentral:rRNA from 1 species
UAGGGAAUCUUCCACAAUGGACGCAAGUCUGAUGGAGCAACGCCGCGUGAGUGAAGAAGGCUUUCGGGUCGUAAAACUCUGUUAUUGAAGAAGAACGUGUGUGACAGUAACUGGUCAUGCAGUGACGGUAUUCAAUCAGAAAGUCACGGCUAACUACGUGCCAGCAGCCGCGGUAAUACGUAGGUGGCAAGCGUUGUCCGGAUUUAUUGGGCGUAAAGCGAGUGCAGGCGGUCUUUUAAGUCUGAUGUGAAAGCCUUCGGCUUAACCGAAGAAGGGCAUCGGAAACUGGG